rnacentral:tRNA from 1 species
GCAGUGGUGGUUCAGUGGGAGAAUUCUCGCCUUUGACGCAGAAGACCAGGGUUCGAUUCCUGGCCAAUGCA